GUUAUAUGGUCAAGCGAAUAAGCGCACACGGUGGAUGCCUAGGCGGUCAGAGGCGAUGAAGGACGUGGUAGCCUGCGAAAAGUGUCGGGGAGCUGGCAACAAGCUUUGAUCCGGCAAUGUCCGAAUGGGGAAACCCACUGCUUCGGCAGUAUCCUGCAGUGAAUUCAUAGCUGCUGGAAGCGAACCCGGUGAACUGAAAUAUCUAAGUAACCGGAGGAAAAGAAAUCAACCGAGAUUCCCUAAGUAGUGACGAGCGAACGGGGAGCAGCCCUUAAGCUGGAAUGGCUUUAGAAAAACAAUUUGGAAAGAUUGGCCAUAGAAGGUGAUAGCCCUGUAUUUAAAAGGGCCACUCCAGUGAAGACGAGUAGGGCGGGGCACGUGAAACCCUGUCUGAAUAUGGGGGGACCAUCCUCCAAGGCUAAAUACUCCUGACCGACCGAUAGUGAACCAGUACCGUGAGGGAAAGGCGAAAAGAACCCCGGAGAGGGGAGUGAAAUAGAUCCUGAAACCGUGUGCGUACAAGCAGUAGGAGCUCGCAAGAGUGACUGCGUACCUUUUGUAUAAUGGGUCAGCGACUUACUGUUCGUGGCAAGCUUAACCGUAUAGGGGAGGCGAAGGGAAACCGAGUCUGAUAAGGGCGCAUAGUCGCGGGCAGUAGACCCGAAACCGGGUGAUCUAGUCAUGGCCAGGGUGAAGGUGCCGUAACAGGUACUGGAGGCCCGAACCCACGUCUGUUGCAAAAGACGGGGAUGAGCUGUGAUUAGGAGUGAAAAGCUAAUCGAACCCGGAGAUAGCUGGUUCUCCUCGAAAGCUAUUUAGGUAGCGCCUCGGACGAAUACUACUGGGGGUAGAGCACUGUUAUGGCUAGGGGGUCAUCGCGACUUACCAAACCAUUGCAAACUCCGAAUACCAGUACGUACUAUCCGGGAGACACACGGCGGGUGCUAACGUCCGUCGUGAAAAGGGAAACAACCCAGACCCACAGCUAAGGUCCCAAAUUCACUGCUAAGUGGAAAACGAUGUGGAAAGGCAUAGACAGCCAGGAGGUUGGCUUAGAAGCAGCCACCCUUUAAAGAAAGCGUAAUAGCUCACUGGUCGAGUCGGUCUGCGCGGAAGAUUUAACGGGGCUAAGCAGUGAACCGAAGCUUGGGGCGCAUAAAACUUGUUUUAUGCGCGGUAGAGGAGCGUUCCGUAAGCCUGCGAAGGUGGAUUGAGAA
rnacentral:rRNA from 1 species